GACGAACGCUGGCGGCGUGCUUAACAUAUGCAAGUCGAACGGAAAGGCCCUGCUUUUGUGGGGUGCUCGAGUGGCGAACGGGUGAGUAACACGUGAGUAACCUGCCCUUGACUUUGGGAUAACUUCAGGAAACUGGGGCUAAUACCGGAUAGGAGCUCCUGCUGCAUGGUGGGGGUUGGAAAGUUUCGGCGGUUGGGGAUGGACUCGCGGCUUAUCAGCUUGUGGGUGGGGUAGUGGCUUACCAAGGCUUUGACGGGUAGUCGGACUGAGAGGGUGACCAGCCACAUUGGGAUUGAGGUACGGCACAGACUCCUACGGAAGGCAGCAGUCGUGACUAUUACUCACUGGACGGAAUCCUGACGCUGCCACGCCGCGUGCGGGAUGUCGACCUUCUGUUUGUAAACCGCUUUCCCCUGUUACGAAGACUGUGUGACAUUACUGGGUAAAGAAGCACCGGCUAACUACGUG
rnacentral:rRNA from 1 species